CGUCAUCCGUACUCCGAAGGUCAUUAUGAUUUUGAAGGGGUUGUAGCUGGCCUCUUUCGUUUGAGGAGGCAUUUUGUGCACGCCCCGAUCAUCAUCCAUAUCACACCUGUGAACUUCAUUGUAGGCAGGCUUUUGUGGGGUGGGGUCUUUUAUUGGACCUUGCCUUGUGGGGGCCUUCCUAUGUUUUCACUACUGGCAACUCGUUUAUAGAAUGUCUACUGUGCAUAAAAUGCAUGUCAAUACAACUUUCAGCAACGGAUCUCUUGGCUCUCGCAUCGAUGAAGAACGCAGCGAAAUGCGAUAAGUAAUGUGAAUUGCAGAAUUCAGUGAAUCAUCGAAUCUUUGAACGCACCUUGCGCUCCUUGGUAUUCCGAGGAGUAUGCCUGUUUGAGUGUCAUGGAAUCAUCAACUCCUUUCGCUGUUGUUGAAAGGGGCUUGGACUUGGAGGCUUUGCCGGUUACCAGUGUUAAUGGGCUGGUUUUCGGCUCCUCUUGAAUGCAUUAGCUCGAACCGUUGUGGAUCGGCUUCGGUGUGAUACAUUUGAUUGUCUACGCUGUGCUGUGAAGCAACUCGGGCUUCCAAAAUGUCCUUCGUUGACUUUUGACUUUUGACCUCAAAUCAGGUAGGAUUACCCGCUGAACUUAAGCAUAUCAA
rnacentral:rRNA from 1 species